rnacentral:rRNA from 1 species
ACACGACUACAUUAGAUACCCGUGUAGUCCCAGCCCUAAACGAUGCGCGUUAGGUGUAUCGGUGACCACGAGUCACCGAGGCGCCGAAGGGAAACCGUGAAACGUGCCGCCUGGGAAGUACGGUCGCAAGGCUGAAACUUAAAGGAAUUGGCGGGGAGCACCACAACGGGUGGAGCCUGCGGUUUAAUUGGACUCAACGCCGGGAAGCUCACCGGAUAAGACAGCGGAAUGAUUGCCGGGCUGAAGACCCUGCAUGACCAGCUG